AUUGAACGCUGGCGGCAGGCUUAACACAUGCAAGUCGAGCGGGGGAAGGUAGCUUGCUACCGGACCUAGCGGCGGACGGGUGAGUAAUGCUUAGGAAUCUGCCUAUUAGUGGGGGACAACAUCUCGAAAGGGAUGCUAAUACCGCAUACGUCCUACGGGAGAAAGCAGGGGAUCUUCGGACCUUGCGCUAAUAGAUGAGCCUAAGUCGGAUUAGCUAGUUGGUGGGGUAAAGGCCUACCAAGGCGACGAUCUGUAGCGGGGCUGAGAGGAGGAGCCGCCACGCUGGGACUGGGACACGGCCCAGACUCCUACGGGAGGCAGCAGUGGGGAAUAGUGGACAAUGGGGGGAACCCUGAUCCAGCCAUGCCGCGUGUGUGAAGAAGGCCUUAUGGUUGUAAAGCACUUUAAGCGAGGAGGAGGCUACUUUAGUUAAUACCUAGAGAUAGUGGACGUUACUCGCAGAAUAAGCACCGGCUAACUCUGUGCCAGCCGCCGCCGUAA
rnacentral:rRNA from 1 species